GAUGAAGAACGUAGCGAAAUGCGAUACGUAAUGUGAAUUGCAGAAUUCAGUGAAUCAUCGAGUCUUUGAACGCACAUUGCGCCCCUUGUAUUCCGGGGGGCAUGCCUGUCCGAGCGUCAUUGCUGCCCUCAAGCACGGCUUGUGUGUUGGGCCUCCGUCCUCCUCCCGGGGGACGGGCCCGAAAGGCAGCGGCGGCACCGCGUCCGGUCCUCGAGCGUAUGGGGCUUCGUCACCCGCUCUUGUAGGCCCGGCCGGCGCUUGCCGACACAUCAAUCUUUUUUCCAGGUUGACCUCGGAUCAGGUAGGGAUACCCGCUGAACUUAAGCAUAUCAAUAAGCGGAGGA
rnacentral:misc_RNA from 1 species